rnacentral:lncRNA from 1 species
CACUUCCUAGCCACUUCCCAGUGCUAUUUCUAAGUGUUCUGAAUCUUUUAUUUCCUUCCCACAGUCACCUUAUGAGCAUUUCCAUAACUCUGUGAACACCGCAGCUUGGUGGUCUUGAUGUGAGUGGUCACAAGGUGUGGGGUUGAAAAGAGAAAAGGAGUCUAGAGAAGAGCUGAGAGGAAGAAGAUGGAAGACCGCUGAGCUCUAUCUUUCCCACCUGUCUGUCCCCAGUGCCUACCACACUCGCAAGAGAAGAAUGAUGAAGGGGUCAGAGAGGAGGGGAUGAGAAAGGCAGGCCUCCCCCAUUUAUAUUUUAGUCUGGCCACUCAGGUCAUCACUUAUUGCUGGCUCACCCAUGCUCCUGAGGAAUGGCAAUGUCCGCUUCCUUUGUCUGCCAUGUCUUUUCUCUGCGUAGACACCUGAUAACAUCCUCCUGAUCCUUCAAGGCUCCCUGGUGUUGGGGACUAGAAGGCCACCCCAAAAUGUGUCUCUUUGGCAUAAGGAUUAUUUUGGGCUGGUUACUUUUAAGAAACUGCAGACAUGGGAGAAGCUCUGAAAAGUAGAAGCUACCCUUUGUAAGAGACAUACAUUUGUAAGGGAC